rnacentral:rRNA from 1 species
UACAGAGGGGGCAAGCGUUGUUCGGAAUUACUGGGCGUAAAGGGCGCGUAGGCGGCCUGUUAAGUCAGACGUGAAAUCCCUCGGCUCAACCGGGGAACUGCGUCUGAUACUGGCGGGCUUGAAUUCGGGAGAGGGAUGUGGAAUUCCAGGUGUAGCGGUGAAAUGCGUAGAUAUCUGGAGGAACACCGGUGGCGAAGGCGGCAUCCUGGACCAACACUGACGCUGAGUGAGCGAAAGCCAGGGGAGCAAACGGG